GACGAACGCUGGAGGCGUGCUUAACACAUGCAAGUCGAGCGAGGCCCUCCUUCGGGAGGUGUCCUAGUGGCGAACGGGUGAGUAACACGUGGGCAACCUGCCCCCGGCUCGGGGAUAACCCCAAGAAAUUGGGGCUAAUACCGGAUACGACCGCUGACCGCAUGGUCCGGUGGUGGAAAGAUUUAUCGGCUGGGGAUGGGCCCGCGGCCUAUCAGCUUGUUGGUGGGGUAGUGGCCUACCAAGGCGACGACGGGUAGCCGGCCUGAGAGGGUGACCGGCCGCACUGGGACUGAGACACGGCCCAGACUCCUACGGGAGGCAGCAGUGGGGAAUAUUGCGCAAUGGGCGGAAGCCUGACGCAGCGACGCCGCGUGGGGGAUGACGGCCUUCGGGUUGUAAACCUCUUUCAGCAGGGACGAAGCGCAAGUGACGGUACCUGCAGAAGAAGCACCGGCCAACUACGUGCCAGCCGCCGCGGUAACAC
rnacentral:rRNA from 1 species